rnacentral:rRNA from 1 species
CUAACUUAAUUUGGCGGCAUUUUAUUUUAUUAGAGGAACUUGUCCUUUAAUCGAUAAUCCACGAUAAUUUUCACUUUUAUUAAUAACUUAUAUACCGCCGUCUUAAGAAUUAAUUUCAAUAUACUUUCUUAAUAUUUUUAAUAAGAUAGGUCAAGGUGUAAUCUAUAUAAAAGAAUUAGAUGAGUUACAUUAAAUAAAAUUUAAGGAAUAAAAACUAAAGUUUUUAAGAAAAGGGANUUAAAAGUAAUUUUUAUGAAAUAAUAAUUAAAUAUGAAUAAAAUUACAAAUGUGCACACA